rnacentral:rRNA from 1 species
GACGAACGCUGGCGGCGUGUUUAACACAUGCAAGUCGAACGGAGAUAACCGAGUAGCAAUACGAGGUUUUCUUAGUGGCGGACGGGUGAGUAACGCGUGAGCAAUUUGCCUUUGGGUGGGGGACAACAGCUGGAAACGGCUGCUAAUACCGCAUACGACAGCGUGGGGGCAUCCCCGUGCUGUGAAAGGAGCAAUCCGCCCAUAGAUGAGCUCGCGUCCCAUUAGGUAGUUGGCGGGGUAACGGCCCACCAAGCCCGCGAUGGGUAGCCGGACUGAGAGGUUGGCCGGCCACACUGGAACUGAGACACGGUCCAGACUCCUACGGGAGGCAGCAGUGAAGAAUAUUGGGCAAUGGGCGAAAGCCUGACCCAGCAACGCCGCGUGAGGGAAGAAGGUUCUCGGAUUGUAAACCUCUGUCCCAUGGGACGAAACAAAUGACGGUACCAUGGGAGGAAGCCCCGGCUAACUACGUG